rnacentral:rRNA from 1 species
GAUGAACGCUGGCGGCGUGCCUAAUACAUGCAAGUCGAGCGAACGGACGAGAAGCUUGCUUCUCUGAUGUUAGCGGCGGACGGGUGAGUAACACGUGGAUAACCUACCUAUAAGACUGGGAUAACUUCGGGAAACCGGAGCCAAUACCGGAUAAUAUUUUGAACCGCAUGGUUCAAAAGUGAAAGACGGUCUUGCUGUCACUUAUAGAUGGAUCCGCGCUGCAUUAGCUAGUUGGUAAGGUAACGGCUUACCAAGGCAACGAUGCAUAGCCGACCUGAGAGGGUGAUCGGCCACACUGGAACUGAGACACGGUCCAGACUCCUACGGGAGGCAGCAGUAGGGAAUCUUCCGCAAAGGGCGAAAGCCUGACGGAGCAACGCCGCGUGAGUGAUGAAGGUCUUCGGAUCGUAAAACUCUGUUAUUAGGGAAGAACAUAUGUGUAAGUAACUGUGCACAUCUUGACGGUACCUAAUCAGAAAGCCACGGCUAACUACGUG